rnacentral:rRNA from 1 species
GACGUAGGUGGCGAACGUUAUCCGGAAUUACUGGGCGUAAAGGGCGCGUAGGCGGCACUGUUAGUCAGGCGUGAAAUUCCUGGGCUCAACCUGGGGACUGCGCUUGAUACGGCAGAGCUUGAGGAUGGAAGAGGGUCGCGGAAUUCCCAGUGUAGAGGUGAAAUUCGUAGAUAUUGGGAAGAACACCGGUGGCGAAGGCGGCGACCUGGUCCAUUACUGACGCUGAGGCGCGACAGCGUGGGGAGCAAACAGG